UGUGUGCGUCUGUGUGUUUGUAUCUCUGUAGUGUGUCUAUGCAUCCCUGCAACGUUUGUGCGUGUGUCUUUCUCUUUGUGUGUGCCAUAAAAACCCACCUGUCUUUUUAACUUUUGUGUCAGUGUGUGUGUGCGCGGUUCAUUCCUCUUCCCAGGACACCGUUACUGAUUAACCCAGAGAGAGGGAGCGAGCAGGUCGAUCCAGCACUCAAAGUGACAAACGGGGCAGAAGGGACGCUUUUACCGAAACCCUGCCUCUCUCUUACACUCCUCUCAUUUGUCGUCGUUCAGUUUCUGUACAGAUUAUUAUUUAUUUAUCGGUUUUAAGAGUCGUGGUGUUUUAUCGAACACAGCGAGAUCACAGCAGUCCGAACCUCGGCCGUUCAGACAUCCGUUGGUCUGCGUUGACUUCUUUAUUAUUAUUAUUAUUAUUUUUAACUUUAGCAGUGGGAUGAGAGACCGUGGAAAGCUACGUUUUGUCAUCUCUUCAGAUCUCACGGGUGAAGGGAGGAGACGCGGAACGCCCAACACGCAGAAGCAGCCUGGGAAAGCAGGAUUUGGAAGGAAAACGCGUUUAAUUCACGUCCUAAAGGAAAAAAAAAAGAAAGAACUGGAGAUUGAAAACGGCAAAGCUACGUUUUACGGAUCACUUUCGGAAAUACAAAAAAAAAAA